rnacentral:lncRNA from 1 species
GCUUCUUGGCCACCAAGAGGUCUUCAGAGACCUCAGAUGAACAGACACAGCCUCAGCUCUGAGGUGCCAAAAAGCAAACUAACUCCUGCUCCGUGGAUAGAGCUACGCCUCCGUCACUCAUGGUUUAUUAAUUACAUUUCUAAACCAGGAAGCCCGAGGGAACAGCAUAUUCUGGCCCACAGGAACUGAUACUGUAUUACGCACCAGGAGUGUCAGUUAUACUGUGUCUGAGUUGUUGGAAGUAGGCUGUCUGGGUAUAAUUAAAAACCAGAGUGGAAGGGCAUUGCCUAAACUUGCACUGGUUUUAUUAAUGGAUACAUCUGAGUCUUUCACAGUUUGACUGAUGUGGUUUAUUGAAGAACCAUUUGUGAGUGAGUCGAGUCUUAAUAAUGACUCCUUAGAGAGAAGGUUUGUAGCUGCCUCUCAAUUGAAAACCAACAGCUCUCCCCACAUAUGCAGUAUAAUAAGAACUUGAUUUAUAUUUCUAUGAGCAGAAAACAUAUAGCUGAACAUGAAUAUUAAACAAAAUGAUCUAAUAAAGAGCGUUUACAGUAUUAGAUCAAAAUUAAACCAUAAUCACAUGAGCAGGAUUGUUUCUCCAGUUCUACGUACCAGAAACAACAAAAGAUGAAGAGUUUCUAAUGAAUAGAAACCUCUCACCUUGAGAAUUGAAGCUAAAACAGAAGUGUUACAUACUGCAGUUCCUUGAAUGUCCAUUUGAGGCUGAGUGGACUGUCCUCCAAAAGCUCGCUAAGCCACAUACACACCCAUCCUAAAAAGCAAAUCUUUCCAGCAAAUAGAGGAAUUGAUUGUGUCACACCUCAAUUGUAAAACUGUUGACAAAGCAGCAAACCUCAGUAGAAGACCUGCUUCCUCAGUAUUUUUUAACCUGCAUUUCUACAUUUCUGUCCUAAUGGGCCAGGUUAGACAAGCCUCUGCAGACUGAGGCGCUUACAUUAAGCAUUUUUAUUGUAAUUAGGCUAUAAUACAGGUUUUAUUGGACUGCAGAACAUGACUGAUAAUUGUCUUGUUUUUCUCACUUUUUGGUGUGUCAACAGUAAGGUUGGGCAUAGUGUGAAUUAAAAUGAUUCCGGUUCUGAUUCAUCGUGUCGAAUCCAGCUCCUAAACGAUUCUGGAAGAAUCAAUGCUCGAGACUAGAUGCCCAACCCUAGUAAACAGUAAACAGAAUAUUAAUGCUGCUUUCCAGUUACCUUGGAAAUCGGAUGUCGGUGCUGGGAAUAACAUUACACCCGAGUUGACAGCGUUUCAGUUAACAAGAUGGAAAACCAAGAUGGACCCAACCCUAGUAAACAGUAAACAGAAUAUUAAUGCUGCUUUCCAGUUACCUUGGAAGUCGGGUGUCGGUGCUGGGAAUAACAUUACACCCGAGUUGACAGCGUUUCAGUUAACAAGAUGGAAAACCAAGAUGGACGCCUACAGCUAACCAUUGUUAGCUGCUGUUUACAAUUGCCAGCUAUCGUUAGCCAUUGUCAGCUGUUGUUAGUUGUUGUUAGCUAUACCAGUUGUAACCAACGCAUAACACAGUAUUUCACUCUUACAAACACCAAAGCAUCAUGCUCACAGUCAGCAAUGGGCGGUACAACAUAAACCACUUAUUUAAUUUCACAAAAACAAAACAGAAGUGCCAAUAAAUAACACAUUACGAGAGCUUUCACUGUUACUCUGUACUGUUGAUGCACUGCGCUGCCAUCUUGGAUUAAGACAUUGUCAUCAAGUCGGGGUUGGUGAGGAUCGUCUGACUUUCCAAGUCGGAAAUCUGACUUCAGGGGUGCGUUCCAGAUGAAUUUCCGACUCGGAGCUCGGAAUUACAGAGUUUGUUAAAAUCAUAGACUGUGUAGUAGAUGGGCAUAGCAUGUGACAUCACCCAUUUGUUUCUGAAGAUGAAUUUUAAAGCCUAUCAGUUGGUAAUGUUGACCCAAACUAACUCUUUUGGUCAACUUGCUAGAGUCAGGCCUUUAGUCUCCUCACAAAUGGCUACAGUGCACCCAUGCAGGUUAAACAUAACUAGUCUGUUAUGUUUAAAAAGUGCAUACUAAUCAUAGCACUACGGUUUGCUGAUUUUGGCGGAACUUCAGCACUUGACUUGGCCAAAAGAUUCCACUCACAGGAAACUCCCACUAUUCAAGUGUUACCAAGUUACAAAACUGUCCCAGAGAAGAAGGAAGUGCUAUGUGAGCGUUCUCAUUUUGGACACUCAACACUGUGCCCAUGGAUGGUGCCGUCCUGCCUUUAGUUCAUAAACUGUCCAUGGGGUUUACUACUGUUCCCAAGCCUCAGGUCAUGAACCUUUACCAACCUUCUAGACUCAUGUUACAAUCAGGCACCUACCCAGAGGAGUAAUGCUGUCACAUGAUCAGUGCUUAUGGUGCCAAUAAUAUGGUAGUAUUGGAGCCAGGGCGGGGCUAUAUGCCUUCAUAUAGGAUGAAGGACAGAUCAAUCUAGCAGGCCUGGUUGAGUCUGCUCUUUACUGCAGCACAUAUGCCGGUCAUGUCUUCACAGGGUAACCUGAUCCAGCAGAGCCUCCUGUAUCUGGAGCACAACUCCUGAACUGCUAUUGGUUGCUGUGCUAAAAUUAGCAUAUUGACCCCUGUGAAAUGCAUUCUGGGAAUAUCCUCUCUUUGACUUGGCCUUAUGGGGCUAAUGCUGUAUGUGGUCCUCAAAUGUUGCUAUGAGGUCAUUUAGUAGACCUCACCUUUCUUGCUCCUUCUGCCCCCUAAUAUGAAAAUAGACUACUGUAUUCCCUCCAUGGUCUGGGUUAAAGUAUUUAAGCUUAGGCUGAUGAGGCUGUGAUUAAAGGCAUAGCCACAGAGAUUCAAAGCAAAGCACACACUCACGUAAAAAAAGGGAUCAUAUCUGUGUAGGAGCUGGUCUCGGGUCAAUUCAAGGUAAUGGGAAAUGCAGAUGUGUAAUUCUAAAGUGUUUUUUCCUCAUAUGCACUUUAUCUUUUAAAGUGGAUCUGGGAAUAACAAUAUAAAAUGCAUCACCUUCAUUGGCUUCAAUAAUCACUGAUGCAAUAAUGCUUCGGGGCUCAGGAUGUCACAAGAUAAAGUUUCAUAAACUCAAGGACAUCUAUUAUGUUUAUUCCUCCUUCUUCCUGUCAUGAAACAUCACACAGCCAAUGUCAAACCACUCUACCUCGUUUGUAAUGUAUCUAUGUGAAGUGUGUGUAGCAAAGCUGGGUGAUCUGUUAAGAUGCACAACAACAUGACCUUGCCCAAGGUGGAGCUUGUUUGGUGAAAGGAGCAUCAUCCUUGUGUUUAACCUGAGUCUAGCUGCUAGACUGAGAAAAAAAAUCAGAUUCAUGCUCAUGCUCACAGACAGUAACACUCAGAUUUAUGAGGUUUAACUUAUCCAUAGGAGUCAGGGGUUACCCAACCAAGCUGGGGCUUUUGACGGUGCUGGCUCAGCAUGCACCAAGGGAGCUGGUUCAUAAUGACACCCAUUAAGGGCUCAGACUGUUGGAGUGCAGCAGUGGUGUCCUGAAGGCAAAUGUCACACCACCACUCACAAGAAAAAACAUUGUUUUCUUAAAACUACUAAAACCAAAAUAACUUUAAACUCUGGAUCUGAAAGAUUUUUCUUUCUCCUCCUCUCUCUUCCUUUCUCAACACCAUGCUCGGCGUUCCAAAGGAAGCAAGAUGAAAUACCAUAACAAAAGAAAUACCUAGUCUCUGUAUUUCAUACAAGCAUAUUGUUUAGACCAGUGUACAGGACACAAGAGGUGUUUAAAAUGUCUUACACACCAAAUUUGAAGGUAAAAAAAAAUUUCCUCAUCGGACUAUUUGAAAACUAAUUACAAGUUGGACUGUAUGUAGACAUUAUGUGACAUUGCCACAUGUUACCAUGCUAUGUACAGAGCGCAGACUAAAGGCAGCUCAGGCAUGGCCAUUGUGUCCAAAUGUGAUUCCCUAUUGUCCUUCAUAUACAGAGGAAAGAUUAGAUUUAUUAAGCCCACCUGUUCAGUGUCCUCCAUCUUUCAUUGCUUAAGCUCUCCCAAAUCCAGGAAAUUAAUUUAUUCCAUCCUUGUGUAACCUGGUUGGAGCUAACAACAGUAGCACAGAUGGUGGAGGACAUUCAUUCAUGUUCACUGCCCACCAUGACACAAACGCCCUUAUUGUGCAAUCAGGUAUCAACCAAUUAGUAUCACAUAUGUUCAACUUUUAACCCUGACCUCCUUUUCCAUGCAUGCAGGACUCCACCAAGGUAGCUCAACCCUAACACAAACAGAUAGACUUCUGUGCUAAGUCUGAACCCUCCUGCUCUCUCCCUGUCAGUGUGUCCUGCAGCUGCAGCACCUGUUUACAUCCUCAACUUUAUUGCAGGGCAGCUUUUGUUAAUCUCAGUCAAUGUCAGCUUCCAUGUCUUCUUUUAAACCUCUGAGCACUCUAUAAAGAAGCUCAAACCGUCACAUGGGAUUAUUUGUAGGGAAGCUUUUUAAUUUUUGGUUACGUAACAUUUCAGAGUGUGAAGUGUUUACACGAAGUUAUGUACAGUCAAAAGGUGCCCAAGUUCAAACGUUGUGCCCUUACCUACGUAUAGUGUGCCAACAUUGAUACGUGCUCUCACUUAUGGAACGAAAAAGACGUUUGCACUCCCAGCAGGCCACCUCCAGAGUUCAUUCAACGCCACCACCCUGCACCUGUUACAGUCCAGCUCUGCAAAAUAGUUAUGGCAUAAAUUAAAGUUUUAAUACUCAUAUUUUUGACAAACACCCAACAGCUUAUCCUGCACAGCACUAUUUAUUCCAGUAUUCCAGGUAUUUAAGUUAGCAUUUCAUGCUAUAAAACUGGAAAGUAACUUGAUAACAACUUUGAUUGUUACAAAGAUGAUGUGGAUUUGCCCUACCCCAUCACUGCCCUUGUACAAAAGACAGAGAAAAGAUUUCUUUUUACACUUUUUAACCAUUGCAUCAAAUGAACUCUGUUGUAAACAAAAGUUAACACUCAGCUGCUUCAGGAAAAAUGUUUCAGGGCCAAUGUUUAAGAAUUGGCCCUGAUAAACUGUAACCACCAGAGGAAAAAAGCAAACAGGAUCUGCUGUUUAAUUUCCAGCUUUUUCUUCUCUUCAUGAGAAGUGUAGGGCUGAAUCAUAAUCCCAACAACCUCUGUAGCUUCAUUUUGCAACAAGAUAGCAGUCACGUUGAUUAAACAUUAAAAUUCAUUAAGCAGGGCAUUAAUUAUUGCGUUUGGCAUUUUGUGAGAACAAUUUGAAAACAUUCUGAGUUCAGUGAAGACCUAGGGCUCUGUUUUUGUGCCUGCCAGUGGCGCGGCGGACGGUGGCGCACCCCACGCAGUGGUAUUUUCGUUGACAGAGGCGCACCAAGGUGCGCCAAGCUGGGCGUGGUGGCGCACAACCCACCUUUGUCACGUGGGGUUUAAAUAUAUGCACCUACCCAAAAUCCCCACAUUUUUCGGCCUGGCCUGAAAUAAGGGACACCCAAAUUUUAUGUUAUUAUUAUACGUAAAAUAGACUGGACAAGAAAGUGGAAAUCCCUUGCUAACCCAACUGUAAGCAUGGAAUUUGCUCUUUAAAGCUCCCAUAAGGAAUUUUUCCAAAUUGAUGAAUUGUCUUGAGAUUCAUUUUAUGCCUUUCGUUGUUAUUUAAGAGCAAAAGGAUAAGAUAAGAUAAGAUAAGAUAAGAUAAGAUAAGAUAGGAAGAACUUUAUUUAUCCCCCAAGGAAAAUUCAAUAAUCAGCAACAAGAUGAUGUUAUCUAUACCAUAAUUUUUAAUACCUGAAAUCUUUGUAGGGGGGUAGGUGUCAGCCAAGCAACAGAUACAGCCCUAAUUUUUCACACAAAAUAUUCACAAUCAUGGUAAAUAUGACUUUUAAAAGUCACUAGGAUGAUAUUUUUGGUCAAAAAUGACUACUUUAGCAUAUUAAGGUUGAAAUAAGCAAACAGCUUUUUCCACAGAGAGCAUCAAAAGGGAACCUUCUUCACAGGAGCUUUAACUUUAAUGCUAACUUAAUGUUAGCUAGAAAGUAAUUAAAUGCAGACUGGCCUCUGAACAUAGCUCAUGUUUAAUGUUAUCAUAGAAUUCACUUUGUAUACUUUCUAACAAACUGCAAUCCAUACAGUGACUGACACAUUAGCUGUUGUAGCUAUUGGAGUCACUGACAGAUUAUGUAGGCCUACACAUUUUUAUAGUUUCUAGCAGAUAAUGGAUUUUCAUAUGUUGAGGCUUACAAACUGAAACAAAAUAAUAAAAGCCUAUAAAAGCAUUUGAACUUCCUACCUGAGAGCUACUGUAACUCUUCUGUUUAAUCAUGACAAAACAUACAACACGUAACCUUGUCUUUACCUGGUCAAAUCUAAGUUUUCUGAGUUUUUAUGACAUCAUAGAUAAAAUUGAUGUCAGUCUACAGAAUUUUCAAAAAGCACAUGAUCUGACAAACAUUUGAUCAGCAUGGUUAGAGCAGAGCAAAUAUUCAGUUACUCUGUUGUAAUGAACACUGACUUAAUCCAAUGGAAACUAUGUGCUCAUGACUUGGGGGGUUCAGCAAUUUAAGAGUGUAAAGGCAUGGGAACCACGAGGACCAUGUGGUGUAUGCUGGGCCAGAUGGCAGCUGGGCUCAUUUUCAGCAGCAAAUGGCUCAAUUCCUCUCUAGCUGGCUCCUGUAAUGUGCUCACUUGGCUCUGUUUGAGGAUUCACCCGAUUCUGAAUUCAGCUGACACCAUUUGGUCCUGUUGUCAACACACACAUUUUGCUAUGCGUGCCCCUGUCAUAUUUAAGUGACAUAGCAAAUUAAUAUUGAAAUACAGCUUUGGUUUGAUCAUCCUCAAUACAUGAGCUAUGCUUGUCAUUUUAUACUCUGGUGUCCUCUCUGGCAUUUGGAUUAAAUUCCUGUAUAAUGCCUUUUCAUGUCAUUUAAAUCUGUUGUAAGAGCACAUAGUUUCCAUUGGAUCAAGUCAGUGUUCAUUACAACAGAGUAACUGAAUAUUUGCUCUGCUCUAACCAUGCUGAUCAAAUGUUUGUCAGAUCAUGUGCUUUUCGAAAAUUCUGUAGACUGAGAUCAAUUUUAUUUAUGAUCUCAUAAAAACUCAGAAAACUUAGAUUUGACCAGGUAAAAACAAGGUUACGUGUUGUAUGUUUUGUCAUGAUUAAACAGAAGAGUUACAGUAGCUCUCAGGUAGGAAGUUCAAAUGCUUUUAUAGGCUUUUAUUAUUUUGUUACAGUUUGUAAGCCUUAGCAUAAGAAAUCCAGUAUCUGCUAAAAACUAUAAAAAUGUGUAGGCCUACAUAAUCUGUCAGUGACUCCAAUAGCUACAACAGCUAAUGUGUCAGUCACUGUAUGGAUUGCAGUUUGUUAGAAAGUAUACAAAGUGAAUUCUAUGAUAACAUUAAACAUGAGCUAUGUUCAGAGGCCAGUCUACAUUUAAGCACUUUCCAGCUAACAUUAAGUUAGCAUUAAAGUUAAAGCUCCUGUGAAGAAGGUUCCCUUUUGAUGCUCUCUGUUGCUAAGUUACCUCACUAACUUAGCAACAGACGAAGUCACUAACAUGGUCUUAUUAUUCUGGCAGUUACCGUGCUAAUUGCUAAUGUGGCAGACAUUGCUAUGGUAGACAAAGAGGAUAGCAGGACACAGAGAGAAAGACAAGAAGGAAGUAUGAACAAGCAGCAUUUGUACAGUAAAUCAGUAUCAUGACUUAUAAGUUAGCUAAAUCUGUCAUAUGCUGUAUGCCCAGCGCUAAAGUUGACUACAACUAGUGGGAAGCUACCGGCUCUCAAAAAUAGUGCUUAUGUUGAAUUUGCUCAUCUUUCUGGUAACAGUUUUUGGGCACAUUUCAAGUACCUUGGACUAUUUCCAUUUUUACCAUGUACAGGUGAUGUAUUGUUGAAGUGAUUUGGAGUUCAAAUGCUACACUAAUCCCAGAAUUUAGCUAAGAUAAAAAAAACGAGCUGGAACUCCUGUUCCAGCUCGUUAUCGCCCCCAAAGAUGAGACUGUGUCUCCAGCCACAUGCAUCACAUCAUUCCUGUUUUUCAGCUAACCUCAGAGGAUUACUCACACCUGACUGAGAUUCCAUCUUCCUUUUCUGUGUCCAGCCAACUGCACAUGCAGUAACCAGAUUCUUUUCAUCCCUUCUAACUGUCUCCCUCUGAGACUGUGGGCUUUAAGACAGAGACUGUGUGUUUAUUAUCCACAGACCCAGGUGAGUUCAGAGAACAUACCACUCCUCCUGUUGUCACCCAUGAAACCACGUGUAUCAGGGACAGCAGGGGGGUUUCUCAAAAAAAGGGGUGGAAAACAUUUAAAAAUAUAACCCCCAACCACUCAAAGAGGGCCUGUGACUUCACAAUACACUUUGACCUCAGUUUCUUCUCAGCAUGGCUGAGAAACGUAAUUUUCACCAAUAUGACUUGUGUUACACUGACCUUUUAACACAACAAUGCUCAUGAGGACUGCAGCCUGCUUUCAUAUUGGACACAGACGGGAUGCCUCACAGCUCUUAUUUUUAGGUAGUGCAGUCAUCAACCUGCUCUGUACCUGCAUCCUGCCAGUCAGUUGAGUGUUAAGGAAUGCAUAGCUGGCUUUUUGGUAACACGUAUAGCCCAGCGAUAAGCCUCUGUGACAGGCUGCUAUUAGAAUUGUCAUUCUUUCGGCUUUAGCCUCCAGUCUCCUGAACUGUUUGUCCCACUGAAGACCUGGCAGAGCUACAAAACCAAGGUAAACUGGUAAAACAUACCAAGGGUCCAAUAAUGUAUGACAACACAGAGACAUUUUCUGUGAGGAAAUGUUGUUGAUGCCCAAUAAGAUCUAUGCUUCAGUGUCCUACCAGACAAUGUGCCUUGAUUUCAAAAUUAAAUAAACUAAAAGUACAUCAACGAAACAAAACAUUUGAAAUUAUGCAACAGAGGCUUACAAGUUGUGUAGGAGUCCAUCUGUCAUUUUUCAGAAGUUCAUAAAUAAGUACAGGUUGCUUGCAAAUGACCUCUGACAUUGAAUAGCUUCUACUCCAAAACUUAAAAGUGAGGCAACAGCAAAGAAGCAAUAAAAAUCCAUAAGCAUACAUAUUUUUUAAAAAAUCAUCUAUGAGCAAAAAAUUAUUUGGAAAAAGCUCAAAUCAUUAGCCGUCUAUUGCAGAUGAUUUCCUGUGGCCCUCUACAUCAUUAAAACCAGCAAAGCCAGUGAGUGUUUUUUCUGUUGAGUUAGUAUGGUUACAAUAAACAGCAAAUAGCCCUGACAAUAGUCUGAGGGCAGCCAGAGCUGUAUUUAAACAUGUACAAAACAAAAACUCUGACACAUUUAUCUAUUUCUUCUUCAGCCAUUCACACAGUUAAUUUCUCGAGAGUUGCCAUGAGCUUAUGUGAGAGUGCAGCCGGUAGUGUUUGGUAAAAUUCUUACAGGUGGCUGGCUGGGUGAUGGCAUUUGUAUCUAUGUAAAUAAAAGCAUAAGUCUUUAAAAGGAGAAGGGUUUAUGAGACAACAACAGAAGAGUUGUCUGCACAUCUGUCAUGUGCAUUGGUAUUUAUGCAAAAAGACCAUCAUCUUGUAAACAUUACACUGACGCUUAAGUAUGCUUUAAAUGUCAUGUCAAAAGACACAACCCCUCCCCCUAAUCUCCAACCCCCUUUGUCUAACUUGAAUGAGGCUCAAGCAACAUUUAUUGUUGAGUUAUUUUAUCUUUAGUUUCAUGAAAUACCUUAAAUUGAAAUUUAUUUAAUGGUUAGAAAAGUAUACUAUGUCUAUCACCUCACCCUAUUGUAGGUACAGGACUGCAGCUACCAAUGCAGGGACUGAGGUUGAGUCUUUUUUUAUUUUCUAUUUCUCAAGAGUGAAUAUAAAGUUUUUCAUCAAUGGGAUCUUAGCAAAUAGAAACUAAUAAAAAAAAAACACUGGUGGAUAUUUUACAUUUGGUUUUGAUGUUUUCCACUGUUGAUCUAGGGAUUUAUGAUGGGCUUCCUGUUUCUCUACAGUGAAAUGGGCUGUUAAAAAAAGCAGAGGAUAUUGGAUACUGUAAAAGAGUUCUUAUAUAUGACAUAGAAAGAUUAGGGUGUAAAACUUUCUGACUGCCUAUCUUGACAGGUAACAAACAUAACAAAGUGUAAACUUUAAUCAGGUCAUAUCAUAGUAGUAAAGCACAAAGCGAGUAACUAAAAGUCACACAAGGACCAAAUGACAUCCAAAGUAAUUAUGUGUUUAAACUUGUUCUUUUUUUUUUUUUUAAUUUGGCAAUGUUCUCGACACCUAAUGUUUUCAAUCCUGACUCCUUAAUAAUCUGACAGAUCAUAACAUGCACCCUAAAGGGUGGGCAUGGAGGGGAAAGAAGAGAGGAGGAGAGGGGCGGCCUUGGACUAUGUUUAGCAAGGAGCCUGAACGUAUGAGACUUCUCACUGGCAUUUGUCCAAUAGUGGGCCUAACACCAGGCUGUAACAAACAAACAUUUUGCACAGGAGGACGUUCUUGUUUUCCCCUAGAGGAGAGGAAGUGGCUUUAGAGAGGAGUGGAGGGAGUAUCACCAUUGCUCAGGAGCACCCCUGCACCCCCGUGAUACCAUAUAAGAGACUGUGAAACCUGAGAGCAGCCUUCUCAAGCUGUGAACAUUCAGAUACUCUCACUUCAAUUUGUCUAGACAUUAGCUGUAAGCCUUUCAAUCCCAUUCCUCAAGUUUAGGCAGUAGAAACAGUAGCUUAGGGGGGUAAGGAAUAAUAAAUCUGGGGUCAAGUCUAACCAUAACACCGAUUAAUUUAAUAACUACUCUUGAUACAAUAUGAAUCAAAUGGUGUCCCUUCUGUGAUUGUGCAACACAGCAAACUAGACAUAAACAAGUAAUCUGACUCUGAACAUCGUUUGUUACUAUUAUACAAUGAUAACUAUUUGAGGUGGUAAGGAAAGUUUUCAUUAUUCCACAUUAUUUUGAAAGGGAAUACACACUAAGAUCUGGUAUGUGGUGUACCUGCAGAGAAACCGAUUUUUUAGUUUAUAUGCUGAAAAAAAGGACCUAGGUUUGAACCUUGUGGAACACCUAUAUAGUAAAGAAGGGCUGGAGAUAGUGUUAAAAUCGCUAGACUAUUUUUAUAAUGAAAGAGAAAAGUUCUUUGUGCUGUAAUAUAUCUUGGUAAACUAUAUGAAUCAAAAGUUUGGACUGUUAAAAAUUGGUUAAGACUUGAUGAUGAUGUUGUGCUGUUACAAUCACACUUAGUUGCUCUUCACUGAUGCCAGAAGGUUGAAUUAACCCUUUUGACUAUGUGUUAUAUGUAAUAAUAAGCCAGGGGCAUGUUUGUCUGUUCAUGCCACCAUAAGAACAGAAUAAGGAUCAAUCAAUAAUACAUUUGGUACACAAAACAACUAGCGUGGCAGCUAGCUAGCUAGCUGGCUUGAUGUCACAGGGCCAUUUUAGCAGAUAAAGCUACAGUAACCUGUUCAGGACUUCUCUCAAAAACAGUUACAAUGACAGUGCAUCCUGAGUCCAUGAAACAGACAUUAAUCCAGUAUUUACACAGCGCUGCAGCGUAUGUAUGUCUCUCAAAUACUGGCAAAGCAGAGAAUAACACAUCUGAGAGAGGGCACCUUUGAGCAAUUGCAAAUAAAUAUAUGAUUGUCACAUUCCAGGAAGUGGAAUAAUGUGUUUUUACAACUCCAUUAGACUGUGGCCUGAUCUCCUAAACAUAUAUUUACAGGCUUUUUAUCAGAGAGUAUAGGACAAUGAACAUCAGGAGCAUGACUUAACGACAAGUCCAAACCACUGUCCCAUCUUACUCAUCAAAGCAUUAAAAUUUUCUUGACUUUUUAGGCAGGUUUGGACAGCUUUGGUGAUUUCAUGUAUUUGUAAUACAUACAACUACCUAAAAAUCCCAGAUAUCUGGAUAAGACCCUACUAUUUCAUUUUAAGUGGAUUGGUUGUCAUAUAUUGUUGCUGUAUGAAAUGUAAAUGGUUUGGAUCUGUAGAAAUCAAGUGACGUAUAAGCACAGUUCGUAUUGCCUGGCAGACCUUUAUAGAGCCAGUUUAAAUUAAAACAAGUGCCAUAAUGGGCUAAAUUUAAUUUAGCAACCUCUUUCAGAGCCUCAUCAUUAGCAGAUGGAGGGUGGCAUAUUUUAUAACUGUAAUAUAAUUACUACAAACAGGGCAGAUGUAUGAGACAAUAUAUUUUAUUUGCUGGCUGCUUCAUGACAGACCUGAAACUUCUUGGAUUUCUGAUGAAUAAGGUUGUUUACAAAUCUGUGGAAUAUGUUGCAACACACUUGAAUAUCUGCAGAUUAAAACAGAGGUGAUCAAGUUCUGAAGCAAGGUCAUAUCUGGAGUGUCUGGACUAGUGACGAGAAACUAAACCCCGAGUAUAGCAGCUACACAAUUCCUUCUGGCAGCAUCUGUGAAAUGCCCAAGGCCUCAUCCAAAGUGU